rnacentral:rRNA from 1 species
GAUGAACGCUGGCGGCGUGCCUAAUACAUGCAAGUCGAGCGAACGGACGAGAAGCUUGCUUCUCUGAUGUUAGCGGCGGACGGGUGAGUAACACGUGGAUAACCUACCUAUAAGACUGGGAUAACUUCGGGAAACCGGAGCUAAUACCGGAUAAUAUUUUGAACCGCAUGGUUCAAAAGUGAAAGACGGUCUUGCUGUCACUUAUAGAUGGAUCCGCGCUGCAUUAGCUAGUUGGUAAGGUAACGGCUUACCAAGGCAACGAUGCAUAGCCGACCUGAGAGGGUGAUCGGCCACACUGGAACUGAGACACGGUCCAGACUCCUACGGGAGGCAGCAGUAGGGAAUCUUCCGCAAUGGGCGAAAGCCUGACGGAGCAACGCCGCGUGAGUGAUGAAGGUCUUCGGAUCGUAAAACUCUGUUAUUAGGGAAGAACAUAUGUGUAAGUAACUGUGCACAUCUUGACGGUACCUAAUCAGAAAGCCACGGCUAACUACGUGCCAGCAGCCGCGGUAAUACGUAGGUGGCAAGCGUUAUCCGGAAUUAUUGGGCGUAAAGCGCGCGCAGGCGGUUUUUUAAGUCUGAUGUGAAAGCCCACGGCUCAACCGUGGAGGGUCAUUGGAAACUGGAAAACUUGAGUGCAGAAGAGGAAAGUGGAAUUCCAUGUGUAGCGGUGAAAUGCGCAGAGAUAUGGAGGAACACCAGUGGCGAAGGCGACUUUCUGGUCUGUAACUGACGCUGAUGUGCGAAAGCGUGGGGAUCAAACAGGAUUAGAUACCCUGGUAGUCCACGCCGUAAACGAUGAGUGCUAAGUGUUAGGGGGUUUCCGCCCCUUAGUGCUGCAGCUAACGCAUUAAGCACUCCGCCUGGGGAGUACGACCGCAAGGUUGAAACUCAAAGGAAUUGACGGGGACCCGCACAAGCGGUGGAGCAUGUGGUUUAAUUCGAAGCAACGCGAAGAACCUUACCAAAUCUUGACAUCCUUUGACAACUCUAGAGAUAGAGCCUUCCCCUUCGGGGGACAAAGUGACAGGUGGUGCAUGGUUGUCGUCAGCUCGUGUCGUGAGAUGUUGGGUUAAGUCCCGCAACGAGCGCAACCCUUAAGCUUAGUUGCCAUCAUUAAGUUGGGCACUCUAAGUUGACUGCCGGGACAAACCGGAGGAAGGUGGGGAUGACGUCAAAUCAUCAUGCCCCUUAUGAUUUGGGCUACACACGUGCUACAAUGGACAAUACAAAGGGCAGCGAAACCGCGAGGUCAAGCAAAUCCCAUAAAGUUGUUCUCAGUUCGGAUUGUAGUCUGCAACUCGACUACAUGAAGCUGGAAUCGCUAGUAAUCGUAGAUCAGCAUGCUACGGUGAAUACGUUCCCGGGUCU